UUUUACAAGAUAAAAAAACCAGUUCUCAUCUGAUCACUGAAGUUCAGCUCGGUUAGUACUUGGAUGGGUGACCGCCUGGGAACACCGAGUGCUGUAGGCU
rnacentral:rRNA from 1 species